CAGAGGGGCUUCACAGAACAUCUCAUGAUCUAAAUUGAGGACCACGAGAAUACUCCAAAAGCAUUGGAAGCAUUGUAAGAGUUGUUGCAAUACAACUCACCAUACUCUUUUUUAUCCACAAAUUAAAGCAUAUGGUAUUACUACGAGACACAGAGUCGUCUUAAGAUUUUACAUUGAUACAUGAGACCACCUUUUAGACGGCAUCGAUGUACUUGUCCUUGAGCUUAUAACACAUGAGGAUGUUAUUUGUGCUCCACACCUUUGUCACCCACAAAAUAUCCAUUACCCUUUGCAUUAAAAUACCUGGAAGCUUUUCUUCUUCCUCAAGAGCUUUGCACCCAUUAAAGCUCUAUUUGCUACCCACCAUUAUUCACCAUAUAGAGGGAAGAACAUUGCCCUUUGCUUCAACAUCCAUGCGUGUGAAACUAACGUAAUCUUAGUAAAGCAACAUCCAUUGCUUAGUUUUUUUCUUGAGCGUAGGGCCUCAUAUGUGGUUCUUAUUUUUUUUCCACUACCCAUACUUAAAAUGUGCAUAUUUUACUUAAAUUCAUUAUGAUUGAAUCACACCAGAGCUUCCUUGCAAUUAGCAAAAGGUGAAAAAAAAACACCCAACAGAUUCCCAUAUAUGAAAGUUGUCUCACAGCUUUAAAUCUACUUGUAAACGUAUUUGAGAUGACAUUGCACUAAAUGUGGACUUUAAUUAUUGUUCAGUAGAUCCUCUUUGACACAUCAAACUAAAUAGAAUGAACAGAAAUAAAGUAUGUUGUGAUUCAGUUUUAUGGUUUUCUGUUACUGAAGCUACCAAUGGUAUAACCUAAGUUCCAGAGAAAUAGCAGCACAAAACCUUUUUAAGGGUGGAGUAUGUAGAUAGUAAUUAAGAAGAAUAAAUAUGAAACUACAAAACACAUAUUUGUGUCGAAUGGAAUGUGGCAGUGGCAUGAGAUCAACUUCGCUCCAUGCAAUGGCCUUAUAUCAAAGUCUUGAACUUGAAAAGCAUAAGGGGAUAUGUUUGGAUAAGGCAUAUUCCACCAAAAAGUUCAGGAUCAGAUUUAUAUAAUAAACAACUGCAAUCAAACUGGCUCCAUUGAUGUUUCAUGUUGUUACCAUUGGUUAACUAAUUCUUCACGGGGUUACCACAUGACAAACUAAUGUCUUACUACAAUUUUUUCCCUUUUCAGCAUAGAAGACACAUUUGACCGCUAUCAGCAAUUUGCCAAGGCAGGAACAAAUGCAGCUGGAGAUCACAAUAAAAAUGAUAACGAGGAUGAAACUUCUUCAGAUCUGCAGUCAAGGCUCCAGCAGAUCGCAACCUGGUCUAUCCAAAACAAUGCCGAAGAAUCGGAUGCCACUGAGCUAGAGCAGUUGGAGAAUCUGCUGAGAAAUGCUUUGAGGGAUACAAGAUCGAAAAAGAUGCAGUUGUUGGGGAAACAGAACACUGGAGGGAGUGCAAGCGGCUCCCAGAACUGCAAGGCGUGAGCAUGGAACAGGGUGUCCCGACCUGCACUGCGCAAGCGGUGAACGAAGCUGACUUGGUGCAGUUACUAUUGACAGCUAGGACUCUGGUUCCCUUUUCUGAUUCCUGUACUACACGCUGAUUGUGAGAUCGUACGGGGUGUUCCUAGCUUGGACCUGAUGACAUCUCUGGGGUCUCCCUUCAGGGGAUUGUGGAUUCAAUGUUUCUUGGUCCACUUAUCUGCUGUGAUAUGCAGCCAAUACCUGGUGCCAAAGGCCUGCUGCUGUAACUGAUAAGGUUGAAUUCAUCACAGAUCUCUCUAUGCAGCAGCCACUUAUUUCAGUUUCUAUCUA